rnacentral:rRNA from 1 species
AUACGAAGGGGGCUAGCGUUGUUCGGAAUCACUGGGCGUAAAGCGCGCGUAGGUGGAUCAAUUAGUUGAGGGUGAAAUCCCGGGGCUCAGCCUCGGAACUGCCUUCAAUACUGUUGAUCUUGAGACCGAGAGAGGUGAGUGGAAUUCCUAGUGUAGAGGUGAAAUUCGUAGAUAUUAGGAAGAACACCAGUGGCGAAGGCGGCUCACUGGCUCGGUACUGACGCUGAGGUGCGAAAGCGUGGGGAGCAAACAGGAUUAGAAACCCCAGUAGUCC